rnacentral:piRNA from 1 species
GGGGCUGGUUUACGUGGGUUGGAAGAG